rnacentral:rRNA from 1 species
UUGAUCCUGGCUCAGAAUGAACGCUUAGCGGCGUGCCUAACACAUGCAAGUCGCACGAGAAACCCUUGGCUUGCCAAGGAGAGUAAAGUGGCGCACGGGUGAGUAACGCGUGGAUAACCUAUCCUCGGGUCCGGGAUGCCCCGCGAAAGCGGUGCUAAUACCGGAUGAUGUCCGAGAAACCCAGGUUUUUCGGACCAAAGGUGGCCUCUACAUGUAAGCUAGUGCCCGAGGCCGGGUCCGCGUACCAUUAGCUUGUUGGUGAGGUAACGGCUCACCAAGGCUGCGAUGGUUAGCUGGUCUGAGAGGAUGAUCAGCCACACUGGAACUGACACACGGUCCAGACUCCCACGGGAGGCAGCAGUGAGGAAUCUUGCGCAAUGGGGGAAACCCUGACGCAGCAACGCCGCGUGAGUGAUGAAGGCUUUCGGGUCGUAAAGCUCUGUCAGGUGGGAAGAACCUGCCUGUGGAUAAUACCCACGGGCACUGACGGUACCACCGAAGGAAGCACCGGCUAACUCCGUGCCAGCAGCCGCGGUAAUACGGAGGGUGCGAGCGUUAUUCGGAAUUAUUGGGCGUAAAGGGCACGUAGGCGGCCGCUUAAGUCAAAUGUGAAAGCCCGGGGCUUAACCCCGGAAGUGCAUAUGAUACUGGGCGGCUUGAGUAUGGGAGAGGGAAGUGGAAUUCCUGGUGUAGGGGUGAAAUCCGUAGAUAUCAGGAGGAACACCGGUGGCGAAGGCGACUUCCUGGACCAAUACUGACGCUGAGGUGCGAAGGCGUGGGGAGCAAACAGGAUUAGAUACCCUGGUAGUCCACGCAGUAAACGGUGAUCACUAGGUGUAGCGGGUAUUGACCCCUGCUGUGCCGCAGCUAACGCAUUAAGUGAUCC